UGGUUGGUGGAGAACUUCAACUUCAAAUGGUAGGUCGAAAUGACAGCUCGGAGGGCAUUGAGGCCGGGUCGGCCAAGGAUUGCAUUGUAGGCGGAUGGCACCUUCACCACCAAGAAAUUCACCAGAGCCCUGGAUUGCUUUGGAUAUUGACCCCGACCACAAUCAAAGCUAUCAUUCCUUCCGUCGGAACGGCGUCACCGGUAAACCCUAUCAGGGGGGAGC
rnacentral:lncRNA from 1 species